GACGAACGCUGGCGGCGUGCUUAACACAUGCAAGUCGAACGGAGAGGCCCAGCUUUUGGGGGGUGCUCGAGUGGCGAACGGGUGUGUAACACGUGAGUAACCUGCUCAUGACUUUGGGAUAACUUCAGGAAACUGGGGCUAAUACCGGAUAGGAGCUCCUGCUGCAGGGGGGGGGGUGGAGAGUUUUGGCGGUUGGGGAUGGACUCGCGGCAUAUCAGCUUGGUGGUGGGGUAGUGGCUUACCAAGGCUUUGACGGGUAGCCGGCCUGAGAGGGUGACCGGCCACACUGGGACUGAGAUACGGCCCAGACUCCUACGGGAGGCAGCAGUGGGGAAUAUUGCACAAUGGGCGGAAGCCUGAUGCAGCAACGCCGCGUGCGGGAUGACGGCCUUCGGGUUGUAAACCUCUUUCGCCUGUGACGAAGCGUGAGUGACGGUAAUGGGUGAAGAAGCACCGGCUAACUACGUG
rnacentral:rRNA from 1 species